UUUUAUUGGUGAAUAUCACUGCCAGGGCUCACACUGAUGUGUGAGGAGCUUAAAUCCCUCAGAUUUCUGCUAAUACUGAUGGGAAUUGAGGAAGCAAAACUCUCAGUCAUCAUCAAGGUGAGUAAAGCUGAAGUGGCUAAAGUUGCAGACAGUUCCCUCCUGCGGAGAGCAGAGGGCCCAGAGUGCUGCCCGGGCCUAGCCCGCAGCAGGGCGCGCCGCCCCCGGCGCCCGGGGCACGGCCAUCACCAGGGCGCUCCCAGCCUGCCGGGGCCUCACGCUGCUGCCCGGCCUGCUCUGCCGCGGAAGGGGCCGGGGAAACAGCAGCGCGUCGUCCAAGGGUGAUCAAAAAGGACUUCAGGGCCUUCACAUGUUUGUCUUAGGGAGAUGAGCCAGGGAGUCCUAACAGAAGACACAGGGAAACACCAGGGAAAUAUCUGAAAGGAGUAAUUCCUCUAGGAAGGCAGCCUGGCAAUCCCCAGGAGCAAGAAAUUGGACAAGGAAGAAAAUUCUAAAGAUACCCUUGAGAAUUUCUCUUCUUGACCUUGACAAAGCUGGAAGAACUCUCUUUAGCACAGAGGAUCCCAUUUAUUCAAGCAUGUGCAUGGAUUAAUAUGUUGCCAGCCCUAGCUUUACAACAAUCUAUGACUACUGCUUCCAUAAAGACAAGAACAGAACAACUAAAUGCAUUGCCAUGAAGAAAGAGAAGGAGUCUGCAGCCCUGCCAAAACACAUAACUCUCCAUCAUUUAGAAUGCUGCAAUGAUAUUUCAAGACUGCACAUGAUUUUAAAUAACUUGAAGAACCAUAUGAUCAAAGAACAUGGAGCAAACACAAGGCAGAAAAGAUCGUACCAUUCCUCCUGGAAAAGUAAUCCUUUAAAAAAAUCCCAAACAAACAAACAUUUCAAUAGCUAUUAAAUCUAU